GACGUAGGUGGCGAACGUUAUCCGGAAUUAUUGGGCGUAAAGGGUGCGUAGAUGGCCUGAUAAGUUAGCAGUGGGAAAUCGAGGCUCAACCUCGUGGAAGCUGGUAAUACUGUCAGGCUCGAGUGCAGGAGAGGUUAACGGAACUCCAUGUGGAGCGGUAAAAUGUGUAGAUAUAUGGAAGAACACCAAUAACGGCGAAGGCAGUUAAACUAUUCUGUUACUGACGUUGAGGCACGAAAGCGUGGGGAGCAAAAAGG
rnacentral:rRNA from 1 species